GGGGGACAGGACAGAGGAGGGGGACAGGACAGAGGAGGAGGACAGGACAGAGGAGGAGGACAGGACAGAGGAGGAGGAGAUAUGAUGAGAUUAGGUGAAGGAGGGGGACAGGACAGAGGAGGGGGACAGGACAGAGGAGGGGGACAGGACAGAGGAGGAGGACAGGACAGAGGAGGAGGACAGGACAGAGGAGGAGGAGAUAUGAUGAGAUUAGGUGAAGGAGGACAGGACAGAGGAGGGGGACAGGACAGAGGAGGGGGGCAGGACAGAGGAGGAGGAGAUAUGAUGAGAUUAGGUGAAGGAGGGGACAGGACAGAGGAGGGGGACAGGACAGAGGAGGAGGACAGGACAGAGGAGGGGGACAGGACAGAGGAGGAGGAGAUAUGAUGAGAUUAGGUGAAGGA